UUUUUUGUAUCAUUUUGAUAGGGUAUCGAGUUGCUGAAUGCGCAAUGGACGUUGCGCGAUACAAAGCGGUCUCCUCUACGGCUGCGGCUAACCGAACGAGAAAGUUCAAAAGAGUGCACAGAACGGAGAGAGUGCAGAGAAAAGGGCAAAGUCCGUCUGUUUGGUGGAAAAAAGGGGCAGCCAGGAGUGAGCAGAAACAGA
ensembl:ncRNA D2024.14 ncRNA